rnacentral:rRNA from 1 species
AUUGAACGCUGGCGGCAGGCCUAACACAUGCAAGUCGAGCGAGCGGCGGACGGGUGAGUAAUGUCUGGGAAACUGCCUGAUGGAGGGGGAUAACUACUGGAAACGGUAGCUAAUACCGCAUACCAUCAGAUGUGCCCAGAUGGGAUUGUCUAGUAGGUGGGGUAACGGCUCACCUAGGCGACGAUCCCUAGCUGGUCUGAGAGGAUGACCGGCCACACUGGACCUGAUACACGGUCCAGACUCCUACGGGCGGCAGCAUUGGGGAAUAUUGCACAAUGGGCGCAAGCCUGAUGAAGCCAUGCCGCGUGUGUGAAGAAGGCCUUCGGGUUGUAAAGCACUUUCAGCGGGGAGGCGUUACCCGCAGAAGAAGCACCGGCUAACUCCGUGCCAGCAGCCGCGGUAAUUC